AUCUGCCUUGCACUCUGGGAUAAGCUUGGGAAACUGGGUCUAAUACCUGAUAGGAACCGUCUUUAGUGUGGUGGUUGGAAAGUUUUUUCGGUGCAAGAUGAGCUCGCGGCCUAUCAGCUUGUUGGUGGGGUAAUGGCCUACCAAGGCGUCGACGGGUAGCCGGCCUGAGAGGGUGUACGGCCACAUUGGGACUGAGAUACGGCCCAG
rnacentral:rRNA from 1 species